CAGCAGCCACGGUAAUACGUAGGGUGCAAGCGUUAAUCGGAAUUACUGGGCGUAAAGCGUGCGCAGGCGGUUUGCUAAGACAGAUGUGAAAUCCCCGGGCUCAACCUGGGACCUGCAUUUGUGACUGUAUAGCUAGAGUACGGUAGAGGGGGAUGGAAUUCCGCGUGUAGCAGUGAAAUGCGUAGAUAUGCGGAGGAACACCGAUGGCGAAGGCAAUCCCCUGGACCUGUACUGACGCUCAUGCACGAAAGCGUGGGGAGCAAACAGGAUUAGAUACCCGCGUAGUCCCUGUCUCUUAUAC
rnacentral:rRNA from 1 species